rnacentral:lncRNA from 1 species
AUGCAAUGGUUGCUACAACAUUCAUGAGUACUCAUAAGGGCUGAGUAUUGGAUUCAACCCACGCUCACUUGCAUCACUUCAUGGAAUUUAUCUCGAGUGAUCGUGAGACGGUAAUAUCAUAUAAAUCUUCAAACCUAGAGAUAUGAGUUGUUGACUAUGAGUUGGUUAUUCAUUGAUUGUACGAAAACGCAUUGGUAACUCGAUGUUAUAAAACGUGCCUUUGUGAGUAAUUCAACAAGUAGUUAGUACAAGCAUAUCAGUCGAAGUUUAUCUGUUCCUUCUAGAAAUAGAAGCGAUAUCUGGGCCCCUCGAUGAUUUGGUUUUGACCUAUGUACCGGGCCCGGUCAGAACCUAAUUGAUGUGUUCAAUUUAGUUCUAUGUCGAAACAAAUCGGAGAUCGAGAAACAAAUGCUGGACAAUAAGUAAGACCAUGUUCCAUGUGUUUGUCCGGCUGAUAUCAUGAGAGCAGAGGAUUAUAUGAUCACUUAUCUUAAAUGGCGUAUCAUCAUCAUCUCAGUUCCGAGAGACUUUGAAAGAGCUACGAUUGCUAGUCGGAUUUUGAAGUCAUAUUUGCAAAUAUAGUUAUUAGACUUAUCCAAGUGGGAGACUGUUGGAUAUAGUGUCUAAGUCCAUAACUUUAUUUGGUAUGUACUUGACCCGACCCGGCAUGGUCCAUUUGGGUUGCAUGGCAUUGCAAUACUUGGAUAGACUAAAUGAGAGAAUAUGGCACUUAUGAUUAUUAAUAUAUUAUAAGUUCUAAUAUAUUAAUAAUAGUAUUAUUUAAUUAGUAAUUGAUCAAGUAUUAAUCUAGUAUUAAUUUGGUGAUCAAAGUGAGACUAAUUAAAUAUAUAGGGUUGAUUAUGACAAUCAUCAAUUCUUUUAUGGUGGAUUAAUGAUCCAUGGUUUAUGGGUUAUGGAUGUAACCAUUUGGAGCUCCAUGGAUAGUCCAUGGGAGUUACAAACCCAUGGGUCAUGAGAAAUGAAGAGUCAUGACAAUUAAGAGUAUUCAUGUGAAAACCCUAAUUGUGACACCACUAUAAAAGGGACCCUUUGGCUAGUGAAAUCGGAGCUAGUAAGGUUACUAGAGAGGGCAUAACCGAUUUUGAGUGCUAGAAGUAUUCUCUCAAGUUAUUCCAAGUUUUGUGGUGUUGUGUGAAGCAUUUGAGGCACAACAUUUGGGGUGCUAGGCUCACAAAGUCUUGAAGGAAUCCAAGCAACAACAAGGUAUGUAUUUCUACUAGUUUUUAUGUUUUAUAUAUUCCCCAUGCCAUGCUAGUUAGGAAAUAACCUUGAAAAAGAAAUUUGCAUGUAUAUAGAGAAAACAUAGAUUCAAGGUUAUUAGGGUUGCAUGUACACUUAGGAAGUGUUAGAAUGCUCAAAACCCAUCAGUGGUAUCAGAGCCUAGGAUUGUUUUCUGUAUACUUGAUGCAAAACUGCUUGAAAAUCGAAAAUUCUGCUCACUGUCGACUAGACUCGCCGAGUUCAUGGGGAGGACUCGCCGAGUCCAUGUACAAAUUCAUCCUACUCGUCGAGUAGGAUCAUGCACUCGACGAGUAGGUGCGUGCUGGGCAGUCUUUUCGUGUUUUGUUGCUGGAAAUGGAUUAAAAUCAUUAUCCCAAUCUGUUUUGGACUUGUAAAAUCUGUUUUUCAAAAUGAUAAUGAUUAUGUUAACCCAUUUUUGCAUGACUUUUAUCAAUUUUCAAGUAUUAUAUAUGUUUAUAUGAUUUCUUGAAAUUGCUUGACAUGAAUUUGUGUUCUUAUGAGUUUUUAGAAGAUCAUAGGAAUUAUGUGUAACCUCCAUGUGUGUUUAAUUCAUGAUCUUAAUGGCAAUGAUGGUGUCCAUAACUUGUCCUCAAGUUAUGGAUAACCAAAAGUCACUUCUUUAAAUUGUGAUUAAAGAACUAAAGAGGUUUCAUAAAAUGAAGAGUCUUCAUUUUUAUGAACCAUUAAAACUCAUAAGUUACAAAUUGAAGAGACUUGGAAUAGUUUCAAUUCUUGCCCUCAAGUUUUGGAAUUUGAAAAGUCUUACACUCUAAUACUUUAAUUCCAAAUUAAACCUUAGAUUUUUAAAAAGUUUAAAAAUCAACACUUAUACUAUUAUUAUAAUUUUAUUAUAUAGAUAUGUAUAAGAAUAUGUCAUUCUUACCGUUAGUAGGCCUCAUUCACGAAGCCGGUCUAUAAGGGGGGUAUAAGGUUGUUGCCUAUAAAAUGGUGACUUAAUGGGUGUCCACUCUCACCCACCGCUUCCUUGAUCGGUGGAGGGUCGUUAGCCGAACGGGUAGGAUACGACUUUAAAUUCUCAUUAAAAGUAUAAUGAAUUAUAAAGUAACUAUACAUUAUAAAUUCCCAAUCUUAGUUACUUUAGGAAAAUGUGAAAUUGGUGCUAGCCCAUAAAAUUACACUUUGUACCUUACCAAGUCGUUAGUGGAGCGUGUGUGGUUAACCGGCACACUAACAUGGACUAGUAAGAGUGGCAAAGGGUAACUUGACUUUAUUAUAGAUCGGUGGAGCGUGUGUGGUUAACCGGCACAUCGAUUAGGUAAUAUUGUUAAGGGUACCAAGUCAAUUUGUAUGGUUAUUCACACCUUGUUUGUGAUCCUCGGCAUCCCAGUCACAAACUUGAGAGGGCACAUUCGAGAUUCAAACAUGCCAUUGAAAAGUUCAAUGUAUCUCAAAAGAUCUAGGAGUUUCAAAACCAAUAAAACCUAAUAAUAAAAUAUUUCGUCUUAUGGUGGAAAUUGGUAAAUCGUCAUUUACCUACCUUCAAAUAUUUUAUAGUGUGGAUUACGGCAUCCCUCUUCCACCUAUAAAUAGUUUGUUGGAUCCUAGCCUUAAUAUUUCAUUUGGGUGACUUAUUAAGGAUUCUUAAUCUAAUGAAACUUAUCUUCCUUUUAUUCCAGAUGUCUUCCAAUAACGCUGCUGGCUCAAACCCUACAGGCUCCUUUUCCCUAAUGAACUUGUGUGGUAAGGUCAUCUUUGAUGGAUCCAACUUUAAUGAGUGGAUCAGAAACAUCAGGAUGAUUACCCGCUAUGAGGACAAAGAAUAUGUCCUUGAUAGGGAGCUUAAGGUUGUUAAUGAAGCCACUGCUACUCCAGAAGAGCUUGCGGAGUUCAUUGCGCAUGAGAAGGAUGCCACCAAGGUGUCCUGCAUCAUGAUGGCCACAAUGACUCCGGAACUCCAAAAAUCUUAUGAAGAUUUCUACCCCUAUGAGAUGCACCUAGAUCUGAUGGAAAGGUACCAUCAGAGCGCGCGUCAAGAGAGGUAUGAAAUCAUUUCCUCCAUGAUAACCGCAAGGAUGAAGGAUGGUGAACCCAUCACCGGUCACUUGCAGAAGAUGCAGAGGUUCGUUGACCGGUUGCUAAAGCUCAAUGUUGACUUCCCUGAGGAAUUGGCGAUUGACAUCAUUCUCCAUUCCUUACCUCCAAGUUAUGAUCAGUUUCGUAUGACUUAUCAUAUGAACAAGGAGGAAGUCACACUUAGCAAACUUCAAGGACUCUUAAGGACAGCUGAAAAUGGCCUUAAGGGUAAAGCGGUUGCUACUUCUACUCCUUUAACAGCCCCUGUUCUUGCAAUUGGGCAAGGGAAGGGUAAGAAGAGGAAAAGCCCUUCAAAGGGUACCAAGGGUAAGACUCUUGAUGGUUCCUCUUCAAGUGGGACAAAGAAAGGUCCCAUUACUCCUUCUUCGAACCCAAAGGAAGCACAGUGCUUCUAUUGCCAAGAUAAGGGACACUUCAAGCGAAGCUGCGCCAAAUAUCUGCAAGAUGUAAAGGAUGGGAAGGUUAAACCCACCCAUGCAGGUAUUUACACAAUAUUGUCUAACAACUCAUCUAAUGCUAAUUCUUGGGUGCUUGAUACAGGGUGUGGUAUUCACAUUUGUACUGAUUUGCAGGCACUAAGAAGAAGUGAGCAAGUGGAGCACGGGAAGAUAAACUUAGUCAUGGGCAACAGGAAAGCAUCACCUGUUACCAAGAUAGGAGUUUAUUCUUUAUUGCUUAAUAAUGGGUUAAUGUUAGAUUUGAAUAAGUGUUGUUACUCGCCCGAAAUGGCGAGAAAUAUUAUUUCUUUUCAUGGCUUGUACAAACAAGGUUUUACAUUUUCAUUUGAUAAUAAAAAUGGUGCUAUUAAUGUUUAUUACAAUGAUGUAUUUUACUUUAAAGCAAUACCUUGUGAUGGUGUAUAUGAAGCCGUGAAUGUUGUAGACAAUCUAGGAAAUAAUGUGUUGUAUAUUGAUUCUUCUGAUAGCUUGGAUAAAGCAUCCUUGUGGCAUUGUCGUCUUGGACAUGUUAGCAAGAAGCGCAUAGGCCAACUCCAAAAGGCUGGAGUCUUGGAAUCAUUUGACCUCAAGUCAGAUGAUAGUUGCGAGUCUUGUUUACUUGGAAAAAUGACAAAGUCGCCCUUCACAGGUACUUGUGAUAGGGGUGAAGGUUUGUUGGACCUUGUACACACGGAUGUGUGUGGGCCCUUCAGAGUUGCUACAAGGGAUGCUAAUCGUUAUUAUGUGACUUUUACUGAUGAUUACAGUAGAUAUGGAUAUAUUUACUUAAUCAAGCAUAAGUCAGAAACCUUUGAAAAGUUCAAAGAGUUUAAGCAGGAAGUUGAGAAUCAAUUGGGCAGGAACAUCAAGAUGCUCCGAUCCGAUCGGGGAGGAGAGUAUCUUAGCAUUGAGUUCCUUGACUAUCUUAAGGAAUGUGGGAUUGUCUCACAAUUGACACCUCCCAGGACACCACAGUUGAAUGGUGUAGCUGAGAGGCGCAAUCGAACCUUGUUGGAUAUGGUUCGUUCCAUGAUGAGUCGAGCUUCGUUACCAAUCUCUUUCUGGGGGUAUGCCUUAGAGACUGCCGCCCAUAUCCUUAAUCUAGUCCCUACUAAAAAGGUUGCCAAAACACCUCACGAGAUGUGGACUGGGAAAGUGCCCAAUUUGGACCACAUCAAGAUUUGGGGUUGUGAAGCUUUUGUGAGGCGUGAGACUCAUGACAAGCUUGAGCCCCGAAGCGAGAGGUGUAUUUUCAUCGGCUACCCACAGAGAUCCUUUGGUUACCUCUUCUACAGACCCAGUGACAAUGUGGUCUUUGUAGCAAGAAGAGGAGUCUUUCGUGAGAGAGAAUUCAUAAGCCAAGGGGACAGUGGGAGGCAAAUUGACCUUGAAGAGCUUCAAGAGUCAAGUGGUGAAGGAACCUCAAAUGCUGUCAGCCAACCUGAGGAGGAAACUCCUGUUGAGCCGAUAGAUGAGUCUGUACCUCCAAGACGUUCCACUAGGGUGAGGAACACACCUGAAUUUUAUUAUGGUUAUCACAUCACCACUGAAGGUGAUACAUUUAUCAGUGAUAGUACACUGAUAGAUUUGGAUGAACCUAAUAAUUAUAAGGAAGCCAUGGCAGGCCCUGAGUCUGCGAAAUGGAAGGAGGCUAUGGACAGCGAGAUUCAGUCCAUGUAUGACAAUCAAGUUUGGAACUUGGUUGACAAUGUACCAGGUCGUAAGACAGUUGGGUGCAAAUGGAUCUUCAAGAAGAAGACCGACAUGGAUGGGAAAGUACACACUUAUAAAGCGCGACUGGUUGCGAAGGGCUUUACUCAAACUCCGGGAGUUGACUAUGAUGAGACCUUCUCACCAGUAGCUAAGAUUAAGUCUAUUAGAGUGUUGUUAGCCAUAGCUGCAUUUCAUGACUAUGAAAUAUGGCAAAUGGAUGUCAAAACCGCUUUCCUUAAUGGGAAGUUGGCUGAGGAUGUUUACAUGGCUCAGCCAGAGGGUUUUGUCGAUCCAAAAUACCCUAAUAGAGUGUGUAAGCUUGAAAAAUCCAUUUAUGGAUUGAAACAAGCAUCUCGCAGGUGGAAUCUUUGCUUUGAUGAGAAAGUCAAAGAGUUUGGCUUUUCUAGGAGUGAGGAUGAGUCUUGUGUGUAUGUCAGGGCUAGUGGGAGCAUAGUUAGCUUCUUGGUGUUGUAUGUGGAUGACAUACUUCUCAUAGGAAACGACAUCCCAACUUUGCAGGAGGUUAAGGCCUGGCUUGGGAAGUGUUUUGCUAUGAAGGACCUUGGGGAAGCUGCCUAUAUCCUAGGGAUAAGGAUAUUGAGAGAUAGGAGUAAGAGACUAAUUGGACUUAGUCAAAGUACUUAUGUGGAUAAGGUACUGAAGAGGUUCAGUAUGCAAGAUUCCAAGAAAGGAGAAUUACCAAUCCAGAGUAAUGCCAAGCUAAGUAAGACUCAGAGUCCGAGUACAGAGGCUGAGAUAGCUGAAAUGAGUCAGAUACCAUAUGCUUCCGCUGUGGGCUCGAUCAUGUAUGCUAUGACUUGUACUCGCCCUGAUGUGGCCUUUGCUUUGAGCAUGGUCAGUAGAUAUCAAGGGAACCCUGGCAAGGCACACUGGACAGCGGUAAAGAACAUUCUCAAGUAUUUGCGGAGGACUAAGGACUGGGUCCUUACCCUCGGAGGCAGUGAUGACUUGAGAGUGGAAGGAUAUAGUGAUGCUAGCUUUCAAACUGAUAGGGAUAAUUUCCGCUCUCAGUCAGGCUGGGUCUUUAUCCUAAAUGGAGGAGCCAUUACUUGGAAAAGUUCCAAGCAGGAGACAGUAGCUGAUUCGACUUGUGAAUCAGAGUACAUAGCAGCAAGCGAGGCAGCAAAAGAGGCGAUAUGGCUGAAGAACUUCAUCGGAGACCUUGGAGUUGUACCAGCUAUAAAGGAGCCAAUGGAAAUUUUCUGUGACAGUGAAAGUGCGGUUGCUUUGGCUAAAGAACCAAGAGAUCACGGGAGAUCUAGGCACAUUGACAGAAAAUACCAUUUCAUCAGACAUAGAAUAGAAGAAGGACUCCUCGUGGCAAAGAGGGUAUCAUCAGAUGAGAACCCGGCAGAUCCCCUCACGAAGGGACUGAGCAGGGUUAAGCAUUUACAGCAUGCAAGGCGCAUUGGGCUGAAGGAUGAUAUUAGUUUCAAUAAUUAGAUUCCUGAAACUUGUAAAAUGUAAUUGACAUUUGAUGAUAAAUAAAAGUUGUUAUUUAUUUAUGAGUAAGGUGUUACUAUCUUGUGUUGAUUGUUUACUAUGUUUCAAUUUUGCAUGUUUUUACUUCCAGAAUAAUUAUGUUAUGGUAUAUAUCAUAUUAUUCAAACCAUCCACAGUCGGUCAAACUUUGGAAGUAAGUAUUGAUUCAAGACUGUCAUGAAUUUGGCUUGUAUGAUUUGUCUAAAGUGCUUUAGACAAUGCAAUGGUUGCUACAACAUUCAUGAGUACUCAUAAGGGCUGAGUAUUGGAUUCAACCCACGCUCACUUGCAUCACUUCAUGGAAUUUAUCUCGAGUGAUCGUGAGACGGUAAUAUCAUAUAAAUCUUCAAACCUAGAGAUAUGAGUUGUUGACUAUGAGUUGGUUAUUCAUUGAUUGUACGAAAACACAUUGGUAACUCGAUGUUAUAAAACGUGCCUUUGUGAAUAAUUCAACAAGUAGUUAGUACAAGCAUAUCAGUCGAAGUUUAUCUGUUCCUUCUAGAAAUAGAAGCGAUAUCUG